rfam:Oryza glumipatula chromosome 6, whole genome shotgun sequence.
AACCACACUAUCGAUGAAUGGAUUCACCCACGAGAUGACGUGGCUAUUUCACCUAGGAGCAUCCUAUUACCAGCCAUCACACUAAAUUAAUAGGAUGCCAUGUCCUCAUCCUAGAUGGAACAACCACGUUAUCUCACGGAUAAAUCUAUUCAUCGAUAGUAUGGUU